GUUAAAGAAGUUGUUGAAACCUACAAGGAUCAGGUGAAAUCUACCAUCCAGUCUCUUACAAAAAAGAAACCAGGGAUCCAGCAAAUGGAGCAGCAACAGAAACAGAAGAUUUCUGGAGUUCUGGAACAGUCACAGGACCUUCAGUCCAAGAUCACAUCCCAG